rnacentral:rRNA from 1 species
UGCGUAGGGGGCGAGCGUUGUCCGGAUUUAUUUGGGCGUAAAGAGCGUGUAGGCGGCCAGGUAGGUCUGCUGUGAAAACUCGAGGCUCAACCUCGAGACGUCGGCGGAAACCAUCUGGCUAGAGUCCGGAAGAGGAGAGUGGAAUUCCUGGUGUAGCGGUGAAAUGCGCAGAGUAUCAGGAAGAACACCCGUGGCGAAGGCGGCUCUCUGGGACGGUACU